rnacentral:lncRNA from 1 species
CCCCAUGCACGCUCUCAAAACCUCUUGAUAUGCUCCCUACAUGUCUAUUUAAUUUCUCUCUUAAAAGAGCUUCUCUCCUUAGGGUAUAUCUUGAAAUAAGGCUUUUAAAUCCUCCCAAAAUUUUAUGUUAAGUUGUUCUACCGACUCAAUAUGAGGUACAUAAGCACUAAUAACUUUAAAGGUAUCUUGCUCCACUACAAAUUUUAAGGCUAUGGUUCAAUCUCCUAUUCAUUUCACAUCCACAAUAUCCUUU